rnacentral:RNase_P_RNA from 1 species
GAAGCUGACCAGACAGUCGCCGCUUCGUCGUCGUCCUCCUUCGGGGGGAGACGGGCGGAGGGGAGGAAAGUCCGGGCUCCAUAGGGCAAGGUGCCAGGUAACGCCUGGGGGGUGUCACAGCCCACGACCAGUGCAACAGAGAGCAAACCGCCGAUGGCCCGCGCAAGCGGGAUCAGGUAAGGGUGAAAGGGUGCGGUAAGAGCGCACGUACGGCCCGUACUGAACCCGGGUAGGCUGCUUGAGCCAGUGAGCGAUUGCUGGCCUAGAUGAAUGACUGUCCACGACAGAACCCGGCUUAUCGGUCAGUUUCACCU